GAUGAAGAACGCAGCGAAAUGCGAAAAGUAAUGUGAAUUGCAGAAUUCAGUGAAUCAUCGAAUCUUUGAACGCACAUUGCGCCCCUUGGUAUUCCGAGGGGCAUGCCUGUUCGAGCGUCAUUUCAACCCUCAAGCACAGCUUGGUCUUGGGCUUCGCCGCUAACCCGGCGGGUCUUAAAAUCAGUGGCGGUGCCGUCGGGCCCUGAGCGCAGUAAUCUCUCUCGCUAUAGGGUCCCGGCGGAUGCUGGCCAGUAUCCCCCAAUUUUCUAUGGUUGACCUCGGAUCAGGUAGGGAUACCCGCUGAACUUAAGCAUAUCAAUAAGCGGAGGA
rnacentral:misc_RNA from 1 species